AUUGAACGCUGGCGGCAGGCCUAACACAUGCAAGUCGAACGGUAACAGGAAGCAGCUUGCUGCUUUGCUGACGAGUGGCGGACGGGUGAGUAAUGUCUGGGAAACUGCCUGAUGGAGGGGGAUAACUACUGGAAACGGUAGCUAAUACCGCAUAACGUCGCAAGACCAAAGAGGGGGACCUUCGGGCCUCUUGCCAUCGGAUGUGCCCAGAUGGGAUUAGCUAGUGGGGGGGGUAAGGCUUAACCUAGGCGAGGAUCCCUAGCUGGUCUGAGAGGAUGACCGGCCACACUGGAACUGAGCCACGGUCCAGGCUCCUACAGGAGGCCGCAGUGGGGAAUAUUGCACAAUGGGCGCAAGCCUGAUGCAGCCAUGCCGCGUGUAUGAAGAAGGCCUUCGGGUUGUAAAGUACUUUCAGCGGGGAGGAAGGGAGUAAAGUUAAUACCUUUGCUCAUUGACGUUACCCGCAGAAGAAGCACCGGCUAACCCCGUG
rnacentral:rRNA from 1 species